rfam:Triticum aestivum genome assembly, contig: Triticum_aestivum_CS42_TGACv1_scaffold_362270_4DS
UAAGUACUCCCUCCGUUCGGAAUUACUCGUCUAAGAAAUGAAUGUAUCUAGAUGUAUUUUAGUUGUAGAUACAUUCAUUUUUGUGACAAGUAAUUCUGAACGGAGGGAGUACAUG